rnacentral:rRNA from 1 species
UGGGGAAUAUUGGACAAUGGGCGAAAGCCUGAUCCAGCAAUGCCGCGUGUGUGAAGAAGGCCUGCGGGUUGUAAAGCACUUUUGUUCGGGAAGAAAACGUGCCGGUCAAUACCCGGUAUGAAUGACGGUACCGAAAGAAUAAGCACCGGCUAACUUCGUGCCAGCAGCCGCGGUAAUACGAAGGGUGCAAGCGUUAAUCGGAAUUACUGGGCGUAAAGGGUGCGUAGGCGGCUUUUUAAGUCGGAUGUGA